AACGAACGCUGGCGGCAUGCCUAACACAUGCAAGUCGAACGAGACCUUCGGGUCUAGUGGCGCACGGGUGCGUAACGCGUGGGAACCUGCCCUUAGGUUCGGAAUAACUCCCCGAAAGGGGUGCUAAUACCGGAUAAUGUCUUCGGACCAAAGAUUUAUCGCCUUUGGAUGGGCCCGCGUUGGAUUAGCUAGUUGGUAGGGUAAAAGCCUACCAAGGCGACGAUCCAUAGCUGGUCUGAGAGGAUGAUCAGCCACACUGGGACUGAGACACGGCCCAGACCCCUACGGGAGGCAGCAGGGGGGAAUAUUGGACAAUGGGCGAAAGCCUGAUCCAGCAAUGCCGGGUGGGUGAUGAAGGCCUUAGGGUUGUAAAGCUCUUUUACCCGGGAUGAUAAUGACAGUACCGGGAAAAUAAGCCCCGGCUAACCCCGG
rnacentral:rRNA from 1 species